AGCGAACGCUGGCGGCAGGCCUAACACAUGCAAGUCGAACGAACUCUUCGGAGUUAGUGGCGGACGGGUGCGUAACACGUGGGAACGUGCCUUUUGGUUCGGAAUAACUCAGGGAAACUCGUGCUAAUACCGACUGUGCCCUUCGGGGGAAAGAUUUAUCGCCCUUAGAGCGGCCCGCGUGUGAUUAGCUAGUUGGUGGGGUAACGGCUUACCAAGGCGACGAUCAGUAGCUGGUCUGAGAGGACGACCAGCCACACUGGGACUGAGACACGGCCCAGACUCGUACGGGAGGCAGCAGUGGGGAAUAUUGGACAAUGGGCGCAAGCCUGAUCAAGCAAUGCCGCGUGCGGGAAGAAGACCUUCGGGUUGUAAACCGCUUUUGUACGGAACGAAAAGGCUCUGGCGAAUACCUGGGGCUGAUGACGGUACCGUAAGAAUAAGCACCGGCUAACUACGUG
rnacentral:rRNA from 1 species